rnacentral:rRNA from 1 species
CUUUAUUGGAGAGUUUGAUCCUGGCUCAGGAUGAACGCUGGCGGCGUGCCUAAUACAUGCAAGUCGAGCGAAUGGAUUAAGAGCUUGCUCUUAU